UUAACAUAAUAUGUAUUGUUAAUCUGUUGCUAGGAGAUGAGCACGUGUUCUGGCAACUGAGUGCCACAUAGUAAACGUGAUUUUUUACUUUUGCUAAAUUAAAAAUCGGAAGGCAGUGCGUUAACAUUAGCACAAAUAUUAGCUUAUGUGGGCAGUUUAUAACAAACUGCCCACAUAAGCAGUAGCCUAUUCCCUAAAAUAUGCUUUUUAGCUAUUUUGUUUAUUAGCCUUGUUCAGCACACUGAAUGGAGGAAGUCAAUGUACCCCACAUGCCACUGACAGCUUUUAAGUUAACAUUAGCAUUUUGGUUAAUUUUAGCUUAUACCCUAAUUUUAACAUACUGAAUAGAGUAAGUCCAUGUUACUCAACGUGCUUGUGAGCUCCAUAUGCUAUUGUGCACAUUGUAGCUUACUUUAGCAUUGAUGCUAAUUUUUAGCAUCAGAACGCUGGGGUCCAACCGAUAGGCACACUUUGGCAGGCCCGUUUAAACCUCUAAAGAAAUGUUCUUUUAUUUUCUUAAAUGCUUUGCUGGUACUGUUAGCUUUUAUUGACUAAGAUAUUUAGUGCAGCAAUACUAAAUUUGAAUUUCAAAGUAAAAACUGCCAGAUGAUCUUGAAUAGAGAAAAAUGUUUUAUGGUACAGUUUGUAGUAUUUUGAAGAUGUAAUGGGAGGUGUAGCUCAGUGUCAACAGUAGAUGGGUGAAUGCAAAAAGGAGUCGAUAAGGUAUUUAAAUGUGCAAAGUUAAGACUGGCUUGCAGAGGACAUGAGAUUGUGGUUGGGUUUUAAAGCACUCAGAGGCCUACAACAAAAAUUUUCAGAAGCUGCAAUCCAGCAAAAACAGAGGCAGAAAAGAGAAAAGAAAUACGUCAGAGAAAGCUAAAGUCGGAUUACCGUCACCUAGAUUAUGGUUAAAUUAUCUGCUACAUCACUCCUUUAAUUUAGCAAUUGUAAUAACAAUAUUCAUAGAUCAUGGAUAAGGCUAAAUGCUAUAGAGUGAAGCUCUUGUCGUCGUGUAAAAAGGUGGCAUGCCACAUAGACAAAUAAAGAAUGACUUGUAUUACCCUGGAGCAAAGUGCUAAUCAAGACUGUCCCCCAACUCCAAUCUAAUUGUCCACGUCCAGCUGAUCAGCCAACGGAGCCCCUUUUUCUCGGCACUUACUGAGAUCAUUGGUUUGAGAAAUGAUCCAGUGAACUGUACUAACUCGGAUAUGAUUGGGUGGCCAUUUAAUAGCAUUUGGGGGAUGGUCUCGCUGAUGUCUGUCGCAGCACUAAUUGCAGCUAAUUUACUGUGAAGCCUUUUCCCGAGCGGCAGUUGUUUUGGGGGUGGCACCCAGAACAGCGCUGAAGCUCACAUUUUAUCCACGCAAGUAGGAGAAAGGAAUUCACUGAGAGAGGCUUCAAGAUUUGCAGAGAUUGUUUAUUUCCGGGAAAUUGAAAAUGCUGAUGGUUUCUAGGCACAUUCAACGAUAAGUAAAAAAAUCUCAGGUUAAGCAUUACAUUCAGAGACAUGGUCAAAAUGCUCCCCGGAUUAGGAGUUUUGUCAAAUUAAAUGAGGUUCUUCUGGUUUAUUUUGCCCCUGCUUACAUAAAACAAGACGCCUUCUUUGGAACCACAAGCAGUGCUGUCACAGGUGACAUUAACUUGCAGGUUUACUCAAGCAUACAACAUAACGCCUGCAAACAUUACACAAUCAUCCUAUGAAUGGCCUUCUUGUUGGAUACUUAUUAAUCUUCUCUGCACCCGUGCCAUCAGCUUUAAGGGUGUGUAAUGACUCGUAACGAAGGCAGCGCUCUGUUCUUAAUGUGGGCCUACUGGGAUCACCCCCAUCCGCGAACACCAGGCUGUCCACUCAUCAGUUCCAAAGGACAAACCUCUCCUUUCCCUUUGAAAAUCCAGCAGUUACUGUACGCCACAAUUACACUCUUCUGUUCCUAUUUGACACAUCUGGCUGUGGAUGUGACAGAAAUUGAAACCCCGCCUCAUUGCUUCUCGCACAUUUGACUCUUUAACUAAAAAUAUUCGUCAGCCAGGACUUUGUCUCGAGCAGGACUAUUUUCUUACUUCCAUCAAUCCAAAAGAAGUCCUAUUAUUGCCUCAGACGCUCUCCAGGCGAACUUGUCACCUCUGCGUUACCUCUGGGUUUGCCCCCCUCUCCGAGCCCCGGUUCUUCCGAGCCCCACAUUAUUCCAUUUAAACUUCAAUCCUAUUUACGGCCUAUCCUUUCCCUCGCCUGCCCGAGGCAAUCAAACUAUUCAUCCAGCGGACUUCAUGUCAUCCGACCCCGUCAUAAAAGCCUCUGUUGGGAUAUGUGUCCAGGAAAAGUGUAUGUUUGCCAGUGUUGUGCAUUUGGGUGACUUGUGUGGGUCUGCUUGGUAAAAAAAACAGGUUUGUAUAAGUGUGACUUUAUGACGGUUUAGGGCAACUGCAAUAUAGUAGUACCUUGUAAGAAAUAUUCACACCCAUUGAACCGUUUCACAUCUUGUCGAAUGCAAACACAAAUUUUUUUCCUAGGGUUUUACAUGAUAGAUCAACUAAUAGAGUUAUUAUAAAAAUCUGGCAUGCAUUUCAAUCCGUCGCACCGGAGCCAACAAUUUGCAAAACUACAAUUUUUUGCCACUGCAGAUCAAAGUAUUUUUAGGUACGUCUUCACCAGCCAUUAGCUUAAACUCAGUCAGAUUGGAUGGGUAGCAUCUGUGAACACCAUUGUUCAAAUCUUUCAGGAAAUGAUCAGUUGUUUGAGUUUUAAUUGGGUCAUUCUGCUGGCAUGUAAUCCAUAAAAAAAAUAAAUAAAUUGGCUUAUUCUGUCAAUUUUUUGUUUUGAUUUGUGGUAUAAAUAAAUUAAUGGUCCCAUCUGUGCUCCGGAUUCAUCCUUUCCUUGCAUGUCAGUGUAUUUUUUUUUUAUCAGAAAUUGGAGACUUUUUGAAAGGAACAGAGAGGCUUAGUUUGAACAUGAGCUGUCAGCUUGUGGCUUAACAUUUUUUUUUCUUUUCCCUGUUGUCUUCUCCUCUCAUCCCAAUUUGUGCCCUGGUGGAACUUCCUGCAUCAGCAGAAACAAGGUGCUGGGGAAGAGGACGGCAUCCUCGAUGGUUCCAAUUUCCAGCCCAUUCCCCAAUUUUCAACCCCAAUGACAGACAACACACACUGGAACGGCUGUUCAGCCGGGGAAGGGACUCGUUUCACUUCCUGCGCUACCCAAAAGGAGGGACACAGACCGGCGAUGCAGAGCCUGCUCGGACAGGGGGGGAAAGGAGAGACGGGAGAUAGAGGAAGAAAGACGAAACAAGAUGCAACCUGAUGGGGCUCCAGAAAAGCAAACAAAAUAGAUGACAAGGAACAAGAAGAAAAAACAAAACAAAAUAGUGGUUGAAAUCUCCAGCUUGAUCUAAGGUGCAGAGAUGUGAAGGCACACAGGUCCUUUAUCCAGCUAAUAUAAGACGCAACAUGUGGUUUCACAAAGGAAAUGAAAGGAUUUCUGACCUGACUUUCUUGUGCCGGCUGAGUUGUUCUCAGGUAAACUGCGGCACAACAGACUGAACUCAAGUCACAAAUGCAAUAACACAUAACUCAAUCACUGCAGCGAUGUUAUCAAAAGACACAAUUUGGCAAUGCUGGUUUCCCCUAAAUCAAAUCAAACUGCAGGACUGAACAACUGAAUUAACAAUUGCCAAGAUACACCUGAAUUCACACGGAGUGUUCUUUGUUUUCUUUUUUUUUUUUUAUCGGUGUGCUGUAACUGUGCUACCCUGGAAAUUGUCCACAUUUUUUUUUGUGUGUUAAACACCCAGAGUCAGGGAUUUAUAUACUGUUGUGACAAGAGGUUUAAAACUAACGAUGUGCCAAGAAACCAUCUAGUGACCUGGUUCAAUUUGAGAAGCCAUGUCAGGUGUGCAGCUGGUUGGAAACUUUCAGUGAACACAACACACCGAAGUACCAACAGGAGGCACAAACAACAAUAAUCUUUACUGUGGGCGUUGCCACUGAAAGAAGACUAAAAGUUUAGUAUUUGUAGAAAAACAAAAGGUGCAAGAGGCUAUUUAAAAGGAAAAGGAAGACGUGUCAGCUGGUAAUUUCGGUGGCAUAUAAUGAAGCUUUCACAGAUAACAGGAAGGUUUAACAGAGAAAAAGUAAGUUUCUAUAUCUUUUUGAGCUUUUAACUUGUCUAACAAUCCUAAGCUUAUGGUAAGGAACUACAUUCUUUUGGGAAUACACUCAGAAAUAGUGAUGUUGAUGCUAACAUUUUAGCAUACUAACAUAUUAGCAUGUUAGCAUGCUAACAAAGAAAACAUAGGAUUUUAAUGACUGAUUGAAAUGACAACUCUGUCUAAUGAUGCACAGUCUUAACAUGUCUUAGACUGCUUUUCAGAUGUAGUCUUUGUGAAUGUUUACUGAUUUCCGCAUCUAUAAAUCUUAUUAAAAAAUGUAGAUUUGUUGACAAUGUAGACAUUGUCAGUUCCUCAGAAGUUUCAAGUCGAGCUCUGUUACAACCCGUCUUGCCGAAAGGCUUCGCUUUAGCUUGAUCCCACUCCUCUGUUCUUUACUAUAUCCAUUUCCAUAUUUUCCCAAAGGUAGUUUUUUUUUACAUGUUACUCUCUCUUUACUAUUAAUGCUUAGCUUUAGAUUUACAGUAGGGUGCUGGUAUUCUACAAAAAGUCUUCCCAGUGGGAUAUUCAUUUAUUUAUUUUUCAGUGUUUAGUUGAGUGUUUGGUUGUGCGUUUAGAUGCAAUACUUUCGAUAGCUGACAAUUACAUUACGUGCCCAACAACAGAAGGAUUUGUUUGCUUUUUCUAGACAGGUCCCUCAAUAUAUGUUACCACAGCUUC